rnacentral:rRNA from 1 species
CAGCCGCCACGGUAAUGCGUAGGGUGCAAGCGUUAAUCGGAAUUACUGGGCGUAAAGCGUGCGCAGGCGGUUCUAUAAGACAGAUGUGAAAUCCCCGGGCUCAACCUGGGAAUGGCGCUUGUGACUGCAAAGCUAGAGUGCGGCAGAGGGGGAUGGAAUUCCGCGUGUAGCAGUGAAAUGCGUAGAUAUGCGGAGGAACACCGAUGGCGAAGGCAAUCCCCUGGGCCUGCACUGACGCUCACGCACGGAAGCGUGGGGAGCAAACAGGAUUAGAUACCCCGGUAGUCCCUGUCUCUUAUAC